UUCUGCCAAUUGGUGGCUAUUGUCCCAGAA
rnacentral:piRNA from 1 species